rnacentral:rRNA from 1 species
CCUACGGGAGACAGCAGUAGGGAAUCUUCCACAAUGGGCGAAAGCCUGAUGGAGCAACGCCGCGUGGGUGAAGAAGGUCCUCGGAUCGUAAAACCUUGUUGUUAGAGAAGCAAGUGCGUGAGAGUAACUGUUCACGUGUCGACGUUCUCUAACCAGAUAGCCUCGGCCAAUUACGUGCAAGCAGCUGCGGUAAUACGUAGGUGGGAAGCGUUAUCAGGAUUUAUUGGGCGUAAAGGGAUCGCAGGCGUUCUUUUAAGUCUGAUGGGAAAGCCUUCGGCUUAACCGGACGAGUGCAUUGGAAACUGGGAGACUUGAGUGCAGGAGAGGAGAGUGGAACUCGAGGUGUAGCGGUGAAAUGCGUAGAUAUAUGGAAGAACACCAAUGGCGAAGGCAGCUCUCUGGUCUGUAACUGACGCUGAGGUUCGAAAGCGUGGGUAGCAAACAGGAUUAGAUACCCUAGUAGUC